CUGUCUAGUUAAAACAAAUCAUUGCAAUGGCCACUUGUCGGUGUUGACGCAAUGUGAUUUCUGCCCAGUGCUCUAAUUGUCAACGUGAAUCUGAUUGCCGACGUGAAGAUAUUCAUCAAAUCGCGGGUAAACGGCGGGAGUAACUAUGACUCUCUUGUCGUGUCGGAGAGGAGUCGUACCUACUCGCGAAAGAAGAGGUAGA
rnacentral:rRNA from 1 species